AGCGCCCCUGGAACACAAAGCCAACACAAAAGACUUUCAGCCCAUGUGACAUACCAACCAAGGCAGAGCUGACACACAUUCAAAGGCACUUUGGCGGUGAAACCCAGGAUCACAGCCGAUCGACUCCCUCCUGAACACAGAAAGCCCUCAGGUCAUCUUUACUGACUUCUAAAUCCUCUCUCAGAGCUUCCUCCAGCCGGCCUCCGUAGCACGAUCCAACACUGGCGGGUUCUGAGCUGAGAACGUUCUGUGACCCUGAACAUGCGUGCUCUCAGGAUUACUUUCUCCAGAACUGAGAACCCACAACUUUGACAAAAGUUAAAACAAAGAGAUAAUGGAGAGCUGCCACUCAGAGCCAAAUCCUAGUAUGAAAGCGUUAACUCCUUCAACAAUGAUUAGGAAAGAGAGAGAGAGAGAGAGAGAGAGAGAGAGAGAGAUUUCAGCCUUUCAGAACCUCAGUUUGUCCAUU